GACGGUUUCCCUGCCCGUGUUUUCCAGGGAAGAAGAGGACUGGAUUUGGUGCUUGUGGACACCUGUGCCACAGGACUGCCUCGAGAGUGUAAGACCUCACCAGAGGAGAAUCCACCAUCCUGAUUUUAAUUAACUGCAGUAGAUGGAAGAGGCAAGAAGGACUAGCAAGUGUUGCUGCCUGUGGAAGAGGUGCUUCUGUUGGGAAGGUUGAGGCUUCUGCAGUUUCUGCUUUAACAUUUCUGCUGCCCUCUGGUGUUUCGGAUAUCCUGAACGAGGAAUCACCUUGGAUGAUUCUGUGAUAUCCAUGGUCGGGAGAGGUGUAAUUACAGAGCUGGCUUGUACAUAACCAGGGUAGAAGAGCGAGGAAAGUGAGGAGGACAUUCCAAAGCAUAUCCACAACGAUGUUCCUUUGAUUUCUCUCGGAAGACGGAGAAGCUGGGAGGAUACAGCUGCUCA
rnacentral:lncRNA from 1 species